GCCUACGGGGGGCAGCAGUGGGGAAUAUUGCACAAUGGGGGAAACCCUGAUGCAGCGACGCCGCGUGAGUGAAGAAGUAUUUCGGUACGUAAAGCUCUAUCAGCAGGGAAGAAAAACCGGCCUUAGGGCCGCCAGACGGUACCUGACUAAGAAGCCCCGGCUAACUACGUGCCAGCAGCCGCGGUAAUACGUAGGGGGCAAGCGUUAUCCGGAUUUAUUGGGUGUAAAGGGCGUGUAGGCGGGAAAGCAAGUCAGAUGUGAAAACUCAGGGCUCAACCCUGAGCCUGCAUUUGAAACUGUUUUUU
rnacentral:rRNA from 1 species